rnacentral:rRNA from 1 species
CCUACGUGAGGCUGCAGUAGGGAAUUUUCGUCAAUGGGCGCAAGCCUGAACGAGCAAUGCCGCGUGAACGAUGAAGGUCUUCGGAUCGUAAAGUACUGUUGAAGGGGAAAAAGAGAGGAGAGAGGAAAUGGUCUCCGAGUGAUAUUACCCUUAGAGGAAGUCACGGCUAACUACGUGCAAGCAGCAGCGGUAAUAUGUAGGGGGCGAGCGUUAUCCGGAAUGAAUGGGCGUAAAGGGUGUGUAGGCGGCCUGCUAAGACUGGAGUGAAAGGUACCGGCUCAACCGGUACAGGCUCUGGAAACUGGCGGGCUAGAGGGCAGGAGAGGGCGGGGGAACGCCAUGUGUAGCGGUAAAAUGCGUAGAUAUAGGGAAGAACACCAGUGGCGAAGGCGGCCGCCUGGCCUGUUGACUGACGCUGAGGCACGAAAGCGUGGGGAGCAAAUAGGAUUAGAUACCCGAGUAGUC